GCCUCAGUCAGCUAAAGAACUACUCAGAGUAUUAUUCUGGUACAGUUUAUAUGGAUUUUGUCCAUGAUGCAAUAUAUGUGAUCUUCAAGAUUUCUUGGUAUUUUCUACUUCUUCUUUCUCUUACCUCUGUGGUAAACUCUGAGAACAUUUUCUUUUCUGUUCUCUCACAAAUUGCCUUACAAUGACUAUACACAUACAGGGGUUCUGUUCUGUUUGUACACCACCAUCACCUUUAAUGCUCAGUGUGUACACUGGGAAGAUUUACACGGAGCCCAUUCUCAGUGAUUACAGGAUGUAUGCAGUGCCCAUGGUUUUGAUGUGAGAUGGUUUCUCUGUGUAUUUACAGAUACAGUGGUUACAAAUGGAACCUAGGCAGGUUCCUUCCUGCAAAAAUAAUCUGAACCUUCACUUCAAUUCUGAGCAGGUUCUCCAUAAGACAUCCACAUGGUAUUCUAGGUUGCUCAUAUCUCUCUUGAACUCAGAUUCAGACAUAGCCACAAUGUUGUUAUUCAAUAUAAUAUACCUGGACCAGUGACAAAAUAUGCUCAUUUUUCUUUUGAUUCCAGUACUGUGCAUAGUCCACAGUUCGAUUUCUAGCUGUUUUUAAAAGCUGAUAUAUAAAUCGAAGCCCAUUUACUCUAUGACACUUGGGGAUGCAGGAAAUGACCUCAGUUGACAGCGAAACUCGAACAUGGCAUAGACCAGAACAAGAUCUCCCUUGGAGAGCAGUGCCACAGGAGGAGUCUAAGUGUGCACAACAAAUACACCACUAUUACAUCGCAUCCUUAAUAUCCAUAGCAGUUGUGGGCUGCAUUUUCCUACUUUAGUUUGAUUUCUUUGGAUUGAAUAGG
ensembl:lncRNA